rnacentral:rRNA from 1 species
GAUGAACGCUGGCGGCGUGCCUAAUACAUGCAAGUCGAACGCACAGCGAAAGGUGCUUGCACCUUUCAAGUGAGUGGCGAACGGGUGAGUAACACGUGGACAACCUGCCUCAAGGCCGGGGAUAACAUUUGGAAACAGAUGCUAAUACCGAAUAAAACUCAGUGUCGCAUGACACAAAGUUAAAAGGCGCUUUGGCGUCACCUAGAGAUGGAUCCGCGGUGCAUUAGUUAGUUGGUGGGGUAAAGGCCUACCAAGACAAUGAUGCAUAGCCGAGUUGAGAGACUGAUCGGCCACAUUGGGACUGAGACACGGCCCAAACUCCUACGGGAGGCUGCAGUAGGGAAUCUUCCACAAUGGGCGAAAGCCUGAUGGAGCAACGCCGCGUGUGUGAUGAAGGCUUUCGGGUCGUAAAGCACUGUUGUAUGGGAAGAACAGCUAGAAUAGGGAAUGAUUUUAGUUUGACGGUACCAUACCAGAAAGGGACGGCUAAAUACGUGCCAGCAGCCGCCGUAA